UUUAUGCCCUAUCUCUUUUAUAAGAUUAAGGAGCCCAUAGAGGGUUGAACUUUCCAUUUAUAAGAUUCAUUUAAAGGCGGAUGAGUGACUGGACAAAUGGGAAUAUGACACACUUUAUGUAUUUACCUCUUUGGUCCAUUCAGUUUUUUGCUUUCAAGACUCAUAUCCAGCUUCCCAUUUGACAGCUCCAUUUGGAUUUCUAAUAGGCUGACCAAACAAAACCUUAUCUUCCCCCCAAACCUGUCUGUCCCACAUUGUAGUCAAUGGCAAGUCCAUCAUUUGAGUCAGGCCAAAGCCUCGAAGUCACCCUUGACUCCUCUCUCUCAUAUGCCAUAGUCCGUUCUAUCUUAAUAUUUCCAGGGGUGACCACUUCUCGCUACAAAUACUGCCGCCCUUUGGGCUUCCUUUCUACCUUUAGCCAUCUAACAACUGCUCAACCCACAAGCAGGAGUGGCCCCCUGAUACUUCACUGUCCUCUCCCACCACUCUCUCCCCAACUCUGGCUUUCUCACUGUUUUCCCUUGAAUGGUCCACAUACUCCCUCUUUAAUGCCCUUGGACUUGCUGGUUCCUCUGCCUGCAUCAGUCUUCCCCCAGAUAUCCCCCUGGCCUACUCCUUCACCUCCUUCAGUUUCUCACUCCAAUAUCACUUUAUUAUUGAGGCUUUCUCUGACCACCUGUAUAAAUGAUAUCCACAUUCCCUUUUCCCUUCGCCCUGCUUUUUCACCAUCUGGCAUGCUAGGUGGACUUGUUUUACCUUUCCAUUAAAAUAUAAGCUCCAUAAGGGCAAGACAUGCCAUCUGUCAUGAUCACUGAUGGAUCCCUUAUAUCUAGAACAGUGCCUGGCACAGAGUAGGUAUCCAAGAGGCGUUUGUUGAAUGAAUGAAUGAAUUCAUUAGUGAGGUACUUCAUUGUGAGAUAUACCUCUGAGCAUAAAGGGAAAAUUACGGAUUCCUAUUUUCUGAUACCAUUUCUAACAUAUAUGACCAUUUUUAGCACAUACACUGACACUUGAGGGAUCGAUUGUAAAUGGCAUAGUUGAACGAGUAAGUAUAAAAUAGAGAAUGGAAUGUUUCAUACUGAAAGUUUUUGCCUGAUAAAUGCCACACUCACCUAGUACUUUGCUUCUGACACUAGUUCUGGCAUACAUGGCCUCGGGAAAUAAGCUCUCAGUGGCUUUUUAUUCCUCACGUAUCCCUGCCAUCCUUUAAGUGGUCAUUAUGUGUUUCUCAACUCCGUUUCUGGAUUUGGCUUGGAUGUUUACUUUCUUAUCCACUGCGUAAACUAAGACUUCUUUGCCUGCGCAUGUUGAAGUCUCUACUGCCCCAUCUGUGUUCUUUCUCUCUUGCUAUUUAAGCUCUAGACAGCCUCUUGGCUUCUGUCUUUCCAGACUAGGACCCUAAGCUGGUCCAUCCCCAUACCCCCUAUCUCUCUUCUACAGGCCAUUGCCACCUCUGUGUGAGUCUGAAGCAGUGGCCAGCUACCUGGGCUGGGCAUCAGGAUCACUGGAGGAGCUUUCUUAAAACUACCAGUGUUCGGUCCCCACACCCCAGCCAUUUCAUCUGUGAGGCGUCAGGUGGGCCCCGGGCAUCUGUACAGCUAGAAAGCAGCACAGGUGUCCCUGAUACGCAUCCAGGCUUGACAACCACUGGUUCUAGUGGGACAGGUUAGGAGUGCUGUGCUUGUGCACAGAAAAGCAUUUCCAGUGGUGUAUCGGUAGGGCAUCUUGUUGGUCCUCUGCGAUGGCGAGCACUUCAGGGAAGGUGACUGCAACUCCCACAGCCCUUCCUUGGUGGUCCUGUAGUCCGUGGCUUUUCAGGUCCAGUCGGAAUGCUUCUCAGGAGUGCGUGUGUGUGUUUUACACUUGUGUUUCUUGGGAUAUUCUCUUCUGCUUGAUGCUUUGCUAUUAAUACAUCCCAAAUUCAUGAAUCCUGUCUCUGGAGUUAUUCUGCCUUAUAGACCGACAUCAGGAUUUAAAGGCAGUGUUUUGACCUUGAUAAAGGUAAAGAAGAUGCCAGUAGUACACAGUCUCCUCUGCACCCCACCCGGGGGGCGUGACAACCAAAAACAUCUUUGGACAUCGCGAAAUGUCCCGGGGCAGGGGAUGAGAAGAACCACCCAGCAUUGUGACCCACCGAUAUAAAGUGAUGGUGGGACACAGGCUUUGCCUUAGAAACUGGAUUUCUGUUACGUCUCUGCCUUGUACUCUCCGAGUGACUUUGGGAAAAUUCUUAAUCCUUUUGAACCUCAGUUUUCUCACCAGUAAAAUAGGAAGAAUGAUGAUAAUAUCUAAUUCGUGGUUGCUGUGAGCUUUGGAUGAAUUAAUGCAUAUAGGUUAUUAGCACCUGUCUCCACACACAUUAAUGAACAGUAAGUGGUAGCUGUUCUCAUCACAGUGGACUCACGUUGUAGACACAUGUAGCUUAAGUGUUCAGCAGAGAAAGAGUUGAGAAAAGAGUCUGAAUAGCAUGGGUGAAUCUACCCCACCGCAUGAGAUGGCCCUGGGGUGAGCCCAUGAUGGGAGGCUGGCGGGAGCUGGGCUACUAGUCCUCCCUAGUUUUCUGUCCUGCCUUUCAGUGUGCAGUCAUCUGGCCCUGGGUUCUUAGCCUCAGCACUGUAGACAUCUGGAACCAGAUCAUUCUUUGUCGUGGGGCUGCCCUGUGCAUUGUAGGAUGUUGAUCAGCUUCCCUGGCCCCAACCCACUGCAUGCCAAUAGCACCCUCUCCACUCCCCCAGUUAUGACAACCAGAAAUGUAUGCAGACAUUGCCCAGUGUCUGGAGAGGCAGGAGGACACAGUUGCCCCAGUUGAGAACCACUGAUGUAGCCUGACUAAGUGUCAGGGAUUUUCGAGGAUGGUUCGGAUUUUCACAGUUUUCACCUUGUUGACAAAUCUAAUCCCUGAGAGGAUGAGUUGCAGCUGAAUUGUUAUUGAGGAGCCAGAACUCAGUUGGAAUCCUCAGUUCACUCGAUUCUCACCACUCCAUUUCCCUACCCUAAACUUAAUUUUUAGGAUAAGCGAGAAACAACCGUUUUAAAACUUUUCAUGAUGUUAUGAUAAACAUUAACUCUGGGAUUUGUCCUGAGAUCAGAGCGUGUAUAUGUGACGCUCACGUCUAUAGCAGAUGAGGCCUGGUAGUAGCUGAGAGGUGUCAUGCUACCUCAGAGGCUGCAAAAUCUUUCUACACUUUGAAGAAAUUUUCAGUUUUGCCCAGGACCUUGUAUAUAGAUGGAAAAGCUUGUAGUUCUGCAAAUUUAAAACUUUUCAAUCACAUCUUCAGCCUGCCUCUCAGUUAACUGGAAAAUGGAAUUACCCCAGCGGUCCUAUCGCCCUCACACACUCAUCGGGUGUUAGGGCUAGUCAGGAUCUGGUGUGCACCUAGAGUGGAAUUGGAGUGCAUGGAGGCGGUAGGAAUUAGAUGAGGUUAGAAUGGCGAUUGGAGGAGGGGCAGUGUUUGCGGUAGGCAAAGGGGGCGUUUUAAGUGCCAGCUGAAUUCAGGCCUAGUAAGUGAAUUCAGGCAGAGAGUAGUCUAGGGUAGUGUGGGAAAUGAGGGCCGUUCCAGGAUCAGUGGGAUUCAUUCCGGUGCCCUGAGAAGGGUCUUUCUCAUAUACACGAGAAAGACAGAUGGCAGAGGUAGCUGGUAUAGAACUUGGCCGAGCCUCGGUAGCUCUCCAUGGUACUUUGAAGCAGUCAAGAGGCAGAAGGGUUUGCAUCAUUAUCUAUUCAGGACCUGGUGGUAGUGUAGGCAGCAAGCAGCAGGGUUCUUUGUUUUAUUUGAACAGGAUUUAUUUUUGCCACCUCUGCUCAGUAACCUCCCUGUGGUCCAAUGGAGUCCUGUUCGGUGUGACUGUGCAUUCCUACUUGGUAGCACAGGGCCUCGGAACACAGCCCUGCGUGUGCACAGUUUGCUUGGUCGUCUUGGCACUUGCUGCUGUCGCAUAGCACUCACUGUGAAUGUUAACCCAGGUUGCGUGUCACACUUGUUUGGGGAGGUGUGGAGGAAAACAGAAACUGAUGCCUGGGCUGCACCAUCAGAUUGUUGCAGGAACUCCAGGGGGAUCUGUAGUUUUAAAAAGCCCCACACAUGUUUUACGACAUGAAGCCAGAGUCGAAAGCCAUAGGCGGAAGUUGCGAAAUUACUUCAGGGGCAAGCAGACAUGUUUAAUUUGGCCCAUUUAGGUUUUUCUUUGUUUUUAAUUAGGAGCCAAAACUUAAGAAUUCUGUGGUUUCUGGGGAAAAAAUAAUCCUGGUUUCUGAUUUCUCUUGAAAAAUGGAAGCCAGCCUCGGCCUGCGUUCCUGCACAGUAUGAUUCGCCAGGACUGAGGGCAGCUGCUGCCCUUGAGAUAGACUGUGUGCCCUCCCAGACACCACAGUCUCCGCUGAGUGGUUUGGGGCCGGGCCCACUUCCUCCUUUUCCAGUGCCUGCCUGACCCGGGUUGGCAUUUGUGUUUCCACUCGGUCGUACCCCUCUUAGACGCAGCAUUCUUCCCACUCUGCUUUUCUCCGGAGAACCUGAGCAGAAACCUCCUGACGGCCCACAGUUGAUUCAGGACACAGUGUCCUCGAGUGCUAGUACUCGGAGAGCAGCAUGUGGCAGUGGUUCUCCAAGAUGAUCCAGGGGCCCCUGGGAGUCCCCCAGACCCGUUCAAGGGGACUGCAGUUCAAAUCUAUUUUCAUGACAAUACAGAGACAUCAUUUGCCCUUUUCACUCUCAUUCUCUCAUGAAUGGACAGUGGAGUUUUUUCCCAGAGGUUAUAGUAGCGACGGCUGGAAUGCACAAGCAAAUAGAAUCUAGCUGUUUUCUGUUAGGCUAGACAUUAGAGUGAGUUGUCAGAAUGUCAACUAAUGACCUUUUCUCACUAGUUUUUUAUUUUUUCAAAAAUUAUUUUUCAUAAAAAAAAAAAGUAUUCAGAUAAACCUUUACUGACUUAUUAUCCUAAAUAAAUUAAUACUUUGACAUUUUUAAUGUGGUGAGUAUCAGUAGCUAUACCCACAUUUACAAAAGCUGUUGAGGAUCCUCAGUAGUUUACAGGUAUGGAAAGGGGUUCCGAGACCAAAAGUUUGAGAACUGCUGGCGCAUGAUAGUGGAGCCCCAGUGUGAAGGGCCUGAGUGGUGCCUGUUGGGAGAUCCGCAUGGGUUUCUCCCCUGUCUCUCCUGCCCCGGGGGAAUUUUAAACUGGGACCAGCAGGCUCAGGCAGAUCACUUGUGGCACAGUCAAAGCGCCUGGAUUGACUGUCCUCUGUGUCUUGCUUCUGCCACUCACUUGCCCAGGACCUUGGCAAGUUGUUCGACUUCAGUUCCUGCAUCUGUGGAGUGGGAAUGAUGCUAAUCAAGUUCAAAGGUCAUUGUGCAGGAACGUGGGUCAUUCAGCCACUCGCCUGUGUGGGUGCAUGUCAGUUAUAACUGGCUGUUGCUCCUCUGAGUAGAUGCUUGGGUAGAGAAAAAGCUUCUUUGAGGUUAGAGCUGUGUCUCUUCACCUCAGCAUCAUGGAGAGUGGGGCCAGUGGGGGCCACUCCGUGCGUCACAGGGUGUUCAGCAGUUUCUUCAACCCACGUGAUGCCAGUGGCACCCACCUACCCCGAGUCAUGACGAGGAAAAAUGUCUCUAGACAUUAUCAGAUGUCCCUUUGGGGGCAGAAUCACCCCCAUUCGAGACCUUCCCCAGGUUAGGAGAUUUCACUGACCCCCCUAAGAGACUCUGAUCUAUUAAAGUCCUAGUCCACGUAUUUAUGUUCACACACUCAGUGGGGGUGGGGGUAGGUACCUCACCCUGGUUCAUACUGUCUGGCACCUCGGUACGUGUGCUGGUGUGUAAUGGGAAUUAAGGGACUUAACUCAGUCUUUCUCUAAAUAAUUGAUGCAGGGUUUCUCAACCUCGGCACAGUUGACUUUUGGGAUUGGGUCAUUCUUUGUGACUGGGGGACCGUCCUGUGAUCCAUGGGAUGUCGAAUAGCAUCCCUGGUCUCCACUUGCUGGAUGGCAUUAGCAGUUCCUUCCCAUCAUGAUAACCAAAAAUGUCUCCAGGCAUUGUCCAUUGUCCCCAGGAGGGACAGAGUCACCACUAGUGAGAACUCCUGGGUUAUAAGAGUAAGUAAAACUAUCCAGGAAUAAAUUAUUUGCCAACUGGAGUUUAGGGCUCACCUUCCCAACCAUUUUCCAUUGUGGCCUUUGGCAGCUAAGUAGGCGUCGUGGACCUCGCUACCCUGUUAACAAAGAGGAACCGUUUUUUCCAUGACCUUUCAGAUCAAAGUAAGGACCUGACAGGAUGUCAGAGCUGGAAAGGGCCUUCAGAGAUGCUCUGGGUCCAGGCCGUUCAUAUCAGGGGCUGAAGCCUAAGGUGUGUGAGCAGAGAGAGCUGGCCGGUGCCAGUGUGCCGCCCUCCAGCCACUGAGUCGAAGAGCCCAUGGUCAUCCUUUCCAAUGGACCAGUACCGUCAACUUAAUAGGCACUUGUCCUCCCAAAAAUUGCCCCACGUGGGGCACUACAUUUGCUCUCACUAUCAGAGGAAAAUAAGAACUUGCAGAAAAGGUGGUAGUUACUCCAUGCACAUGUUUAGAAGGUAAGACUUGCUUCGGCGGCGAGUUUAAAAUCCCUUGGCUAAGUUAACCUCCCCCAGGUUCGCCACACAGAAACUUGGGGCUUUUGGGACCCAGAUUAAUGCCUGUGUCGCAUCUGUAGCAGCAGCGCGGGAGUGAGGAAAACAGUUCUUGAGAAUCUGGCUUUCUGGGGGGGUGAGAGUGAGAAAACAGGCUCCCCUCUGCUCAGAGAAAGGCUGUUGUGCAGCAUUGGGGGCAGUGGCGUCUGGGGGUCUAAGAGUGUGGGGCCUGGGUGAGUUGUCAUCACUGCCAUUGAGAGCAGGGGCACCCUGACAGGUCUCCUUGUCAGAGGAGCAAGAGUUCUUUCAGCUGCCAGCAUCUGCCACUGAGAGAGCAAGACAUGCCUUCACAGCCUCGUUACAGCCAUCCCGGUCCCCACACCUAAGGGACCGGCAGGCUCUGUCUCCAAAAUAUUCAACUCCAUCCACUGUGCCCUGUCUCCAAGGCCACAAGACUAGCCUGAGCCGCCAUUGCCACUGCCACUUCUCACCUGGACGACUCCUAGAGGCUCCUCACUGGUCCCUUGCAUCUACUCCUGCAUCCCUGCGAUCUGUUCUUAGCACUCCCAGGAUGAUCUUGCCAGCAUUUUAUUACAGGACUUUUCUAACAUACAAAAAGGGGAAGAAUUUCAUGCACACUACUGCCAGGGUGGGUCUUUUAAAAAUAUAAACCAGAUGGUGUCACUUGCCUGCUUGGACUCCUCCACCGGCCUCCCUUUAGACUGGAGAAACCCAGACUCUUCACCACCCGCACCCGCACCCCCCAGCUCCCACCUUUCCCUGUGUGAACUCUCAGCCGUGCUGGCCUCCAGGUCCUUUCUGCCCUCAGGACUUGCAUGCUUGGGGUUCCCUCUGCCCAGGAUGUUCAGCCUGCAUCCAGCUCACUUCUUUACGUUUGAGUCUCAGAUGAUACCUCAGAGGCCCCACCCACGUGCUCACCCUACGGUCCCCUUUACCCACUCGCUCUUUCCCACCUCUUGCUUUGCUUUAUCUUCCUUACAGCCCCUAUCUCCAGAAUUAUCUCUCAUGACUCAGUGCUUGAUCGUUUUCUUUUCCCGCUGGAGAGCUGUGACUUCUUUUGCCUUUCAUCUUGUCUGCAGUGCUGAGGUUGGUGCCUGGCACAUAGCAGGUGCUCAGUAAAUCAUGCUGCUGGGAGCAAGGCUUGGCCAGUUGACUCUCCAACGGGUCUCGCCUCAGAAGGGCUCAAGGGAUUCUGAGCUACUGAGCAUUUGAGGUGUCUUGGCACCCAGGCAGCUGUUGGAAGGCGCCAAACGCUCAUUCAGACGUCAGGUUAUCAUGGUUGGAGGUCUGGGAGCUGGGGACACGCCUCGAAUCCAAGACCUAGGCUUUAAGGUGGCAUCAAAGUAUUUGCAGUCGUCUCCAUAUAAUAAUGCCAGUGAGGAAUUCAUAUUGCAUGCCAGCCGCUUCCCAACCACUUUAUAUGCACCGUUUCGUUCAGUCCUUCCUGCAACUGCCUGGGCUGUAGGUACCAUACCUGUUGGGCAAAUGAGGACAGUGUACAGAGAAAGUUAACUUGCCCAAGUGAUUGAGACUGAUUUGAAUGCACACAAAAACUAGAGCCUGCAUUCCCAAAUUUCAUCAGUUUAUGGUCUGCAGCCUCAGCAGAAGUUCUGUAGUUUUUAGAUUUCCUUCCUGUGAGAGGAUUUCCGUUGUCUCUACGGGAACUUUUAUCCGAUCUUCAGCCACUUCGACCUCACCUCAGCUGUGCUGGGAGCCAUGCCAUCUAGUGGCAGAAUAGAAAAGUGCUGUCUGUCAAAGCUGGAUCCCUGAAUUUCUCAGUAGUCUUAGGUCGAGUUGCUGAUUUUGUGUCAUUUAUUUAAUAGGUUUAUGGGGUUUCUCUUGGAUUCAAGGCACAGAGGUGCCCAGAGUGCAGGGUCUUCCGCCAGCAGUAGGUGAAGGUAACGGCAGGAUGAAGAGCAUUCCAGAAAGAAGUGCAUAAAAGAUAGCGUCAUCUCCCCAAACUGUGCCCCCCCCGUGAUGUCCGUGAGACCAGUUGAGAGUUGCCCGAGGAGAAAUGUACUUGAACACCAAAAAAGAAUUCAGGGGCCUGCCAGCCUCCACUGGGUGGGCUGAGCGGCCACUGAGUAUGCGGCACUCGAACAUCGAGAGGCGUCGCCUAGCAACAGCAUGGCUGAGGUCAGUGUCAUUCUUCACCAAAGAAUGAGUUUGGGAACAGAGUUGACACAUUAGUGACAAAUUCACCCUUAUGUUGCUGCACAGAACUGUUUAUAAUAAUUCCUGAGAAAAGAAAUGACUUGAAGGGCUGAGAUGGUGUCGAAGGAUUAAAGCAGUUGCCACGUAUUAAUGCUGUUAUUUGUGUUGGCAAGAUGCUUUCCGUGUUUUUUGCACAGAUAAGAAGAUUAAGACACAUAACCCCAGGAUUAAAGCUCGUUUUAUACCAGUAGUUUGCUGACAUUCUAGAAAUUCUAAGUGGCUUUCCAGAAAAGGGGUGUUUCCUGGCAGGGGUUCGAGUCAUUAUUUAGGAGGCGAAUAAACAGAACAAGAAAGAUAGUCCAAA